AACGAACGCUGGCGGCGUACUUAACACAUGCAAGUCGUACGAGAAAUUCCGAUUCGUCGGAAGAGUAAAGUGGCGAACGGGUGAGUAACACGAGGGUAAUCUGCCCUUAAAUCAGGGAUAACCUUGCGAAAGCGAAGCUAAUACCUGAUAAGACUACAAUCUUCUAGGAGAUAGUAGGAAAAAUGGCCUCUGUUUCAUGCUAUUGUUUAAGGAUGAGCCCUCGUACUAUUAGCUAGUUGGUGAGGUAACGGCUCACCAAGGCGACGAUGGUUAGCUGGUCUGAGAGGAUGAUCAGCCACACUGGAACUGAGAUACGGUCCAGACUCCUACGGGAGGCAG
rnacentral:rRNA from 1 species